GUUAACGGCCACAGCGGAAGAGAAACACCUGCACUCGUCCCGAACGCAGAAGUUAAGCCUUCCAGCGAAUAAGACUGUACUGCAUAACCUGCGGGAAACCUUAGACGCUGUUAACC
rnacentral:rRNA from 1 species